rnacentral:rRNA from 1 species
AUUGAACGCUGGCGGCAUGCCUUACACAUGCAAGUCGAACGGCAGCACGGGAGCAAUCCUGGUGGCGAGUGGCGAACGGGUGAGUAAUGUAUCGGAACGUGCCCAGUCGUGGGGGAUAACGUAGCGAAAGCUACGCUAAUACCGCAUACGAUCUAUGGAUGAAAGCGGGGGACCGUAAGGCCUCGCGCGAUUGGAGCGGCCGAUAUCAGAUUAGGUAGUUGGUGGGGUAAAGGCCUACCAAGCCGACGAUCUGUAGCUGGUCUGAGAGGACGACACGCCACACUGGGACUGAGAAACGGCCCAGACUCCUACGGGAGGCAGCAGUGGGGAAUUUUGGACAAUGGGCGCAAGCCUGAUCCAGCAAUGCCGCGUGCAGGAUGAAGGCCUUCGGGUUGUAAACUGCUUUUGUACGGAGCGAAAAGGCUCUCUCUAAUACAGGGGGCUCAUGACGGUACCGUAAGAAUAAGCACCGGCUAACUACGUGCCAGCAGCCGCCGUAAAAC